UGGGGAAUAUUGGACAAUGGGGGGAACCCUGAUCCAGCCAUGCCGCGUGUGUGAAGAAGGCCUUAUGGUUGAAAAGCACUUUAAGCGAGGAGGAGGGUACUGGUAUUAAUACUACCAGGUACUGGACGUUACUCGCAGAAUAAGCACCGGCUAACUCUGUGCCAGCAGCCGCGGUAAUACAGAGGGUGCGAGCGUUAAUCGGAUUUACUGGGCGUAAAGCGUGCGUAGGCGGCUAAUUGAGUCGGAUGUGAAAUCCCCGAGCUUAACUUGGGAAUUGCAUUCGAUACUGGUUAGCUAGAGUGUGGGAGAGGAUGGUAGAAUUCCAGGUGUAGCGGUGAAAUGCGUAGAGAUCUGGAGGAAUACCGAUGGCGAAGGCAGCCAUCUGGCCUAACACUGACGCUGAGGUACGAAAGCAUGGGGAGCAAACAGG
rnacentral:rRNA from 1 species